CGCUGAGAAGCCAACUCUGGUGAUAGGUAGCUCCAUUCUGAGGAACGUGAAGAUAAACCAGGGACCAUAGUUACAUGUGUACCGGGCGCCAGAGCGGGCGACAUUGAGUCUUAAACUGCUGGCUAUGGAUAAGCGUAAAUACAAUCCUCCCACAUCAUCAGCUCAUUACCCAUACCUGGUUCUCCUUUCCCUCACCUGAAGCACAUCCCCUCAUCAGUCACUCACUAUUUAAGGCCGUCGCAUUUGUUUGUUCCAGCGUUUUUACGAUUACCGAUAUCCCGUCCUGACCUAGCCUGCCUUCUCUUGACCAUGAACCCUUUGGCUGCGCCCUUUUUGGAUUUGUUUGCCUGUCGGAUUGCCAUCCUGUUUCUGAACUCUGCCUGUCACCGUUUACGGAUUUCCUGCCUGCCCCUCUGGAUUUGUUUGCC
ensembl:lncRNA